UUCCGGUUGAUCCUGCCGGACCUGACUGCUAUCGGAUUGAUACUAAGCCAUGCGAGUCAUUGUAGCAAUACAAGGCAGACGGUUCAGUAACGCGUAGUCAACCUAACCUAUGGACGGGAAUAACCUCGGGAAACUGAGAAUAAUGCCCGAUAGAACACUAUAUCUGGAAUGGUUUGUGUUCCAAAUGAUUUAUCGCCGUAGGAUGGGACUGCGGCCUAUCAGUUUGUUGGUGAGGUAAUGGCCCACCAAGACUAUUACAGGUACGGGCUCUGAGAGGAGUAGCCCGGAGAUGGGUACUGAGACACGGACCCAGGCCCUAUGGGGCGCAGCAGGCGAGAAAACUUUGCAAUGUGCGAAAGCACGACAAGGUUAAUCCGAGUGGUUUGUGCUAAACGAACCUUUUGUCGGUCCUAGAAACACCGAUGAAUAAGGGGUGGGCAAGUUCUGGUGUCAGCCGCCGCGGUAAAACCAGCACCUCAAGUGGUCAGGAUGAUUAUUGGGCCUAAAGCAUCCGUAGCCGGCGCUAUAAGUUUUCGGUUAAAUCUGUACGCUCAACGUACAGGCUGCCGGGAAUACUGUAGCGCUAGGGAGUGGGAGAGGUAGACGGUACUCGGUAGGAAGGGGUAAAAUCCUUUGAUCUAUUGAUGACCACCUGUGGCGAAGGCGGUCUACCAGAACACGUCCGACGGUGAGGGAUGAAAGCUGGGGGAGCAAACCGGAUUAGAUACCCGGGUAGUCCCAGCUGUAAACUAUGCAAACUCAGUGAUGCAUUGGCUUGUGGCCAAUGCAGUGCUGCAGGGAAGCCGUUAAGUUUGCCGCCUGGGAAGUACGUACGCAAGUAUGAAACUUAAAGGAAUUGGCGGGGGAGUACCACAAGGGGUGAAGCCUGCGGUUCAAUUGGAUUCAACGCCGGA
rnacentral:rRNA from 2 species